rnacentral:lncRNA from 1 species
AAAAAAUAUUUAUUUUUAAGAUUUAGAGUUUAGUGUUUAAGAUUUAUAAUUUAGAAUUUAUCCAAAUGUUUAGUGUUUUUCCAAGGGUUUAUGGUUUACCUAAGGGUUUAGGGUUUACCCAAGGGUUUAGAGUUUUUCCAAAGGUUUAGGGUUUAGGAUUAGAGUUUAGGGUUUAGUGUUUUGUUGACAAUAUGUUUAGUAUUUUUCCAAGGGUUUAGGGUUUACCUAAGAAUUUAGGAUUUAUCCAAGGGUUUAGGGUUUAGGAUUUGAGUUUAGGGUUUAGUAUUAGAGUUUAGGGUUUAGUAUUAGAGUUUAGGGUUUAGUGUUUUGUUGACAACUUUUUUUUCUUUGAAUUCGUUUUUUAUAUAUUAUUUUUAAAUUUUAUUUUGAAAAGAUAAUAUAAUUUGCCAAGUUAUUUGGUUUCCUUAAUUAAAAGAUACUAAAUCUA